rnacentral:rRNA from 1 species
UACAGAGGUCCCAAGCGUUGUUCGGAUUCACUGGGCGUAAAGGGUGCGUAGGCGGUCGGGUAAGUCUGAUGUGAAAUCUCCAAGCCUAACUUGGAAACUGCAUUGGAUACUAUCCGCUCGAGGAAUGGAGGGGAGACUGGAAUACUUGGUGUAGCAGUGAAAUGCGUAGAUAUCAAAGUGGAACACCAGUGGCGAAGGCGAGUCUCUGGACAUUUUCCUGACGCUGAGGCACGAAAGCCAGGGGGAGCAAACGGG